AAAUUGAAGAGUUUGAUCAUGGCUCAGAUUGAACGCUGGCGGCAGGCCUAACACAUGCAAGUCGAGCGGCAGCGGGAAAGUAGCUUGCUACUUUUGCCGGCGAGCGGCGGACGGGUGAGUAAUGCCUGGGGAUCUGCCCAGUCGAGGGGAAUAACUACUGGAAACGGUAGCUAAUACCGCAUACGCCCUACGGGGGAAAGCAGGGGACCUUCGGGCCUUGCGCGAUUGGAUGAACCCAGGUGGGAUUAGC
rnacentral:rRNA from 1 species